rnacentral:rRNA from 1 species
CCUACGGGCGGCAGCAGUGGGGAAUAUUGCUCAAUGGGGGAAACCCUGAUCCAGCGACGUCGCGUGAGUGAUGAAGUAAUUCGUUAUGUUAAGCUCUAUCAGCAGGGAAGAAAAUGACGGUACCUGAGUAAGAAGCCCCGGGUAACUACGUGCCAGCAGCCGCGGGAAUACGGAGGGGGCCGGCGUUAUCCGGAUUUACUGGGUGUAAAGGGAGCGUAGACGGCAGUGCAAGUCUGGAGUGAAAGGGGGGGGCUCAACCCCCGGACUGCCCUGGAAACUGUACGGCUGGAGUGCAGGAGAGGUAAGUGGAAUGCCUAGUGUAGCGGUGAAAUGCGUAGAUAUUAGGAGGAACACCAAUGGCGAAGGCAGCUUACUGGACUGUAACUGACGUUGAGGCUCGAAAGCGUGGGGAGCAAACAGGAUUAGAUACCCCUGUAGUC